rnacentral:lncRNA from 1 species
CCACGACUUUGGAAAGUAAAUUGCUCCUCUCAACAGAGGUACCACGACUUUGAAAAAAUAAAUUGCUCCUCUAAACAGAGGCACCACUUUUGGAAAGUAAAUUGCUCCUCUCAACAGAGGUACCACGACUUUGGAAAAAUAAAUUGCUCAUCUAAACAGAGGCAACGGAACUUUGAAAAAUAAAUUGCUCCUCUAAACAGAGGCAACGAACUUUGAAAAAGUAAAUUGCUCCUCUAAACAGAGGCACCACGACUUUUGAAAAGUAAAUUGCUCCUCUAAACAGAGGCAACGAACUUUGGAAAAUAAAUUGCUCCUCUAAACAGAGGCAACAAACUUUGAAAA